GAUGAACGCUAGCGGCAGGCUUAAUACAUGCAAGUCGAGGGGUAGCAAGAUUGUAGCAAUACAAUUGUUGACGACCGGCAAACGGGUGCGGAACACGCACACAACCUUCCUACAAGUGGGGAAUAGCCCAGAGAAAUUUGGAUUAAUACCCCGUAACAUAGCGAUGUGGCAUCACAUUGCUAUUAUAGCUUCGGCGCUUGUUGAUGGGUGUGCGGCUGAUUAGAUAGUUGGCGGGGUAACGGCCCACCAAGUCUACGAUCAGUAGCUGAUGUGAGAGCAUGAUCAGCCACACGGGCACUGAGACACGGGCCCGACUCCUACGGGAGGCAGCAGUAAGGAAUAUUGGACAAUGGACGCAAGUCUGAUCCAGCCAUGCCGCGUGAAGGAUUAAGGUCCUCUGGAUUGUAAACUUCUUUUAUAAGGGACGAAAAAAGGUCUUUCUAGAUCGUCUGACGGUACCUUAUGAAUAAGCACCGGCUAACUCCGUGCCAGCAGCCGCAGUAAUAC
rnacentral:rRNA from 1 species